GGUAGGAUGGCCGAGCGUUAGGCGGUGGGUUGUAGCUCCAUGAACAGAGGUUCAAGUCCUCUUCCUAUCA
rnacentral:tRNA from 1 species